rnacentral:rRNA from 1 species
UACGUAGGGUGCGAGCGUUGUCCGGAAUUAUUGGGCGUAAAGGGCUCGUAGGCGGUUUGUCGCGUCGGGAGUGAAAACCUUGGGCUUAACUCAGGGCUUGCUUUCGAUACGGGCAGACUAGAGGUAUGCAGGGGAGAACGGAAUUCCUGGUGUAGCGGUGAAAUGCGCAGAUAUCAGGAGGAACACCGGUGGCGAAGGCGGUUCUCUGGGCAUGAUCUGACGCUGAGACGCGAAAGCGUGGGGAGCGAACCGG